rnacentral:miRNA from 1 species
AUCUCUAGGGAAUCUUGAUAAAUGCAGAUUCUGAUUCAGUGUCUGGGAUGGGGCCUGAGAGUCUGCAUUUCUAACAAGAUCCCAGGUGAUGC